AUUAGGAUAGCUCAGCUGGUAGUGUAGAGGACUAAAAAUCCUUGUGUCACCAGUUCAAAUCUGGUUCCUAGCA